AUUGAACGCUGGCGGCAGGCCUAACACAUGCAAGUCGGACGGUAGCACAGAGGAGCUUGCUCUUCGGGUGACGAGUGGCGGACGGGUGAGUAAUGUCUGGGGAUCUGCCCGAUAGAGGGGGAUAACCACUGGAAACGGUGGCUAAUACCGCAUAACGUCGCAAGACCAAAGCGGGGGACCUUCGGGCCUCCCACUAUCGGAUGAACCCAGAUGGGAUUAGCUAGUAGGCGGGGUAACGGCCCACCUAGGCGACGAUCCCUAGCUGGUCUGAGAGGAUGACCAGCCACACUGGAACUGAGACACGGUCCAGACUCCUACGGGAGGCAGCAGUGGGGAAUAUUGCACAAUGGGCGCAAGCCUGAUGCAGCCAUGCCGCGUGUAUGAAGAAGGCCUUCGGGUUGUAAAGUACUUUCAGCGGGGAGGAAGGCGAUGUGGUUAAUAACCGCGUCGAUUGACGUUACCCGCAGAAGAAGCACCGGCUAACUCCGUGCCAGCCGCCGCCGUAA
rnacentral:rRNA from 1 species